GAUGAAGAACGUAGCGAAAUGCGAUAAGUAAUGUGAAUUGCAGAAUUCAGUGAAUCAUCGAAUCUUUGAACGCACAUUGCGCCCGCCAGUAUUCUGGCGGGCAUGCCUGUUCGAGCGUCAUUACAACCCUCAGGCCCCCGGGCCUGGCGUUGGGGAUCGGCGAAAGCCCCCUGCGGGCACAACGCCGUUCCCCAAAUACAGUGGCGGUCCCGCCGCAGCUUCCAUUGCGUAGUAGCUAACACCUCGCAACUGGAGAGCGGCGCGGCCACGCCGUAAAACACCCAACUUCUGAAUGUUGACCUCGAAUCAGGUAGGAAUACCCGCUGAACUUAAGCAUAUCAAUAAGCGGAGGA
rnacentral:misc_RNA from 1 species